GACGAACGCUGGCGGCGUGCCUAAUACAUGCAAGUAGAACGCUGAAGGAGGAGAUUGCUUCUCUGGAUGAGUUGCGAACGGGUGAGUAACGCGUAGGUAACCUGCCUGGUAGCGGGGGAUAACUAUUGGAAACGAUAGCUAAUACCGCAUAAUAGUAGAUGUUGCAUGACAUUUGCUUAAAAGGUGCAAUUGCAUCACUACCAGAUGGACCUGCGUUGUAUUAGCUAGUUGGUGAGGUAACGGCUCACCAAGGCAACGAUACAUAGCCGACCUGAGAGGGUGAUCGGCCACACUGGGACUGAGACACGGCCCAGACUCCUACGGGAGGGAGCAGGAGGGAAUCUUCGGCAAUGGACGGAAGUCUGACCGAGGAACGCCGCGUGAGUGAAGAAGGGUUUCGGAUCGGAAAGCUCUGUUGUAAGGGAAGAACGAGUGUGAGAGUAGAAAGUUCACACUGUGACGGUAUCUUACCAGAAAGGGACGGCUAACUACGUG
rnacentral:rRNA from 1 species